UGUGGCAUCGCCGGGAACUCGCGCAGUGGCAUGGCUCUCCAGUGCCAGUUUGUCACGUGUUGAGUGAGGUCGCGCCGGGCACCCAUACCCCUCGCGGGCAAGAGUAAAGGUUCUUCAAUUACGAGAAAAAACAUAUAUGAUCUCUGAUAUUAAUUUCUUUUGUUAAUGAUUGUUGACUAAAGCUGACCUCUAUAGAUAUACGUGUAUUUUAUGACCUUCAAAAUCACGUGAUUUUAACAACAGGAUCAGACGAUUAAUUGUUAUUAGUGAAAGUUAACAAAGAUUAACAAUGGUUCUUGAGAAAGACGUGAUGCUUAUCAGAAAAUCAAGAAGAAUGUAAAAAUGGAUGAUACGGAGGAAACAGCAUGGAUGAAGAAAAUGCUUAGAUAACUCAAGAGUGAAAAAGAAUCAGUGAAAAAAAAAUAUAAAACAGUGAAACAGAGAGGAAAGAGACAGUGAGAUA